GGAUUUCCUGGAUACAAAGGAGAGAUGCAAAUGAAGCUAUUCCGACCGAUAGACAAGAAGUGGUGUCAUUACCGACCAAUAGACGAAUGUGAUGUCAUCAUAAGGCUCCACCUCUCUUUGUUUGGCAGAUGGUACCGUGAAUUCGGCAAUCAGACAUCUAUCCUGUACAUGGUGCAUGGUGUUUAGUCCUUUGCUUUACAUAAGUGUUUAGCACAUAGAAACAACUUCUAUAGUCUACAUUUGCACGUGCAUGUUUACCCACCAACAACCAGUCAACUAGAGAGCGAAUGUACUGGAUUCAGGUGCCAUGCGGUACGUGUAGCUGUACCUGACUUGUAACAUUUUGCUUGUUCCACAGUGUUUCUUCAUAGUGGUUUUGCAGUCUGACAGCUUGAAUUUUUGUUGUGUGUGGCUAAGCGGCUGUGGUUUUGCUGCAAAAAUCACUAUAGUGUUGUUUUCAACAGAAAUUUGGCACUCCACGGUAAUUUGCAAAGGGGAACGUGCAUUGUCCAUGACAGUGUGUCUGUUUGUCGGACGAAGCGACUGACCUGUAAGUACGCAAGUCUGGAGACGCUUUGCACCUUUGUUUAGCUAAACGAAUGCAUUGGAAACUUUAACUGAGACGUCUGGGUUGGGCUAAACCUCAGUAUGCAAAACAUUAUCACAUGACAGCAUAUGUGAUUACAUACACCAGCCGAGGGUUUAGCACUGUAAUGUGCUUCUCUAUUCAUUAAUGUUUGUAUUGCUGUUGUUUGGAACUGAAAAGGGAGAUUUGUGGACGAGUGAAGGUGGAUGGAUAGUUUUACUUGAGAGAAAGUCUUGUUUCUUGAAAUGACAAACUUGCAAGUAAUAUCCAAUAGAAAUACUUAUUUUAGUAUUUGUUUGUGUUUUAGAAAGGUUCACAAGGUUUGCAAGGCAUUCCUGGAUUAACUCCACUUUCUGAAAUAAAGAAACUUGAACGUUUGGUGACAAAAUUAUACAAUGAACUGAAGGUUUCUCGAGUUUCAUAUGGUGAUGAAGUUGGUACAUGCAACAUUAGCACGUUAGGUGAUUUGUUCUACCACAAUUCUAAUAAAUCUUUGCUAUUUUGUGAUUCUGAGAAGUGGGUUGAGAUAACAUGGAAACUAUACCUAACUUGUUCUGUAAUUAAGAUCAACUCUAUUCAGUUUGUGCAGAAGGUCCACUCUCUCCCACCUGUAAAGGUUUAUUGUGAUUAUUCUGUGAUCUCUAGUGGAUGUGCACUUGUGUGGAAACACUCAUAUUUGCAAGUUGGAAAUCCAACUGAUGACAUGCGUACUUUCAGUUCAGUUGAUCGUCCAUGUACUGAUCUGUCUGAUGGUUGGUGUAAUGUGGGUAACAAGGAUAAUGUUCCUGGUAAUGUUCAAUUGACAGUUGCUUAUCACGAAGGACAAGUUGCGUAUGCAUAUGGUGGUGAUCGUAAUUCUGAACUGGGAAAGUCAUGGCGUGGAGCAAUACUCAACAAUCCAGUCAAAAUUACAGAUCGUUGCAGAACUGGAAUGGGAUUCCUCCAGAGCCAAAUAUUGCUUCAUCUGGAAUACCAGGAUUGACAUUUGACAAAUGGAAGCCUGGUGUAUACGACCAAAACUGUGAUACAGAUAGAUACAAGACUAUGUAUGACUGUCGUUGGGAGAAUUGUCAGUUACCUUCAUCUAUCUCAUCCAAAACAAAUCAUGUACAAAUGACAGUUGCUAUAUUUCUUUGUUGACUUUGCACACAGCACUCUAUGGGGUAGUUGCAUGUUGAUCUUGUUUGCAUUGUAUGAAAUGUAACAUCUAGUAUUGUGAACCUUGGGCUUUCUUGUCAGGACUUCACAGCAUCAUUUUUGUUGUGUUUCUGAUUUCCAACCAUAAAAGUUUAUUACGUGAAAAUUACAAAAACAAAUUGUUUUUGUAUUGCGUUGUAGCUUAUAUUGUAAUGGUAAUAUAAUAUUUGAUAGCUAUUUUAUUUGAGCAAGUAGAAUAGAGUUUGAAUAAAGUAUGUAGUGAGGACAAAUAAGUGAUUGCAACCGAACUUUGACCAACUGGCAACUGCUUCCUUCU